AUUGAACGCUGGCGGAAUGCUUUACACAUGCAAGUCGAACGGCAGCACGGACUUCGGUCUGGUGGCGAGUGGCGAACGGGUGAGUAAUGUAUCGGAACGUGCCCAGUCGUGGGGGAUAACGUAGUGAAAAUUACGCUAAUACCGCAUACGAUCUAUGGAUGAAAGCGGGGGAUCGCAAGACCUCGCGCGAUUGGAGCGGCCGAUAUCAGAGUAGGUAGUUGGUGGGGUAAAGGCACACCAAGCCAACGAUCUGUAGCUGGUCUGAGAGGACGACCAGCCACGCUGGACAGGAGACACGGUCCAGACUCCUACGGGAGGCAGCAGUGGGGAAUUUUGGACAAUGGGCGAAAGCCUGAUCCAGCCAUUCCGCGUGCAGGAUGAAGGCCCUCGGGUUGUAAACUGCUUUUGUACAGAACGAAAAGGUUUCUACUAAUACUAGGAGCUCAUGACGGUACUGUAAGAAUAAGCACCGGCUAACUACGUGCCAGCCGCCGCGGUAA
rnacentral:rRNA from 1 species